rnacentral:lncRNA from 1 species
AAAGGAGCGUCUAGCCAUGACGAGGAGCGUCUAGGCCAUGAAGAGGAGCGGCUACAUAAGGAGCAUCUAUGAAGAGUCCUAGACCGUCUAGCUUCACAUAUACAUGGGCCAAGCUACGGUUUGUGAAGAGAAGGCUUUGUUACAUAAAGGCCCAUUAGGGGUGCUUAGUAAUUAGAGUAGUGUAGAAAGCAUAUUUGUACAUUCUAGAAAGACCAUGGAGGGGGUGAGCAUAAAAACUAGACACACCCCUCCCCAUGUG